AUUCAUUUAGCUUCUUCCCUUCACACUGACUUCUGGUGUGCCUGGCUUCCCCAGUUACUGAAGAUUCUGAUAUACCUUGGGUUUGCUGCUGGCUUUCCCUCCUCAUUUGGGAUUCAGGUUUCUGAAGCACCUAAGGGGAUCAUCACAACCCAGGCAUCGAAGCUGUGUCUCUUGUAUCCUCUGCUUUGGUACAUGGGUUCUUUACCACUGAGCCAUCUGGGAAGCCCAAGGUGAUACACAGAAGCAGGUCAAUGUCUUUCCUUACUCAUCUUCCUGAGAAGAGAAGUGACUCAUCUGAUGGGAAGUUCUCUUCUUUUCCCUCUUUUCCCAGAUUCAAGCAUUCCAUCAAGAGAGGUUAUGGAAGAGCAGGAACAAAGGAAUCUGCCUGACUUUGGUUUUCAAAAG